GGGGAAUAUUGGACAAUGGGCGAAAGCCUGAUCCAGGCAUGCCGCGUGUGUGAAGAAGGUCUUCGGAUUGUAAAGCACUUUAAGUUGGGAGGAAGGGGUGUAGAUUAAUACUCUGCAAUUUUGACGUUACCGACAGCAUAAGCACCGGCUAACUUCGUGCCAGCAGCCGCGGUAAUACGUAGGUGGCAAGCGUUGUCCGGAAUUAUUGGGCGUAAAGCGCGCGCAGGUGGUUUCUUAAGUCUGAUGUGAAAGCCCACGGCUUAACCGUGGAGGGUCAUUGGAAACUGGGAGACUUGAGUGCAGAAGAGGAAAGUGGAAUUCCAAGUGUAGCGGUGAAAUGCGUAGAGAUUUGGAGGAACACCAGUGGCGAAGGCGACUUUCUGCUCUGCAACUGACGCUGAGGCGCGAAAGCAUGGGGAGCAAACA
rnacentral:rRNA from 1 species